UGCCAGCAGCCGCGGUAACACCAGCGCCACGAGUGGCAUUCGCAUUUAUUGGGUCUAAAGCGUUCGUAGCCGGACAUGUACAUCUCUUGUGAAAUGGACCGACUCAAUCGUUCCGAUUGCUUGAGACACGGCAUGUCUUGGAACCGGGAGGAGCUAGAGGUAUGUCUUGGGGAGCGGUAAAAUGUGAUAAUCCAAGAUAGACCACCUGCGGCGAAGGCGUCUAGCUAGAACGGAUUCGACGGUGAGGGACGAAGGCCAGGGGAGCGAACCGGAUUAGAUA
rnacentral:rRNA from 1 species